GUGUGUAUGUGUGUCUUGUUACAUGAUUUUAAAUGUAGUAUAAUAGAAUAUUGUGACAGACAAUAAAAUUAAAAGUUUAGUUGUUGUUACAGGUUUUAAUGUUCAACCAUUUAUAUAUCUU